AUGUCGGAGGUGACCUGGAGUCUGCUACAGCGCUGGGGCGCCAGCUUUAGGAGAGGAGCAGACUUCUUCUCCUGGGGCCAGCUGGUGGAGACGAUAGACAAGGAUCAGAUAUUAGCAAGACAUCUACAAAAAGAGGUCCAAGCUCAACACAACAAUUCAGAAUUCACAGAAAAACAAAAGAAAACCAUAGGCAAAAUUGCAACAUGCUUGGAAUUGCGAAGUGCAGCUUUACAGUCCACACAGUCCCAAGAAGAAUUGGAGGGCCUGAAGAAGCUAGAACCAAUACUAAAGAAUAUUCUUACAUAUAAUAAAGCAUUUCCAUUUGAUGUUCAGCCUGUACCAUUAAGAAGAAUUUUAGCACCUGGUGAAGAAGAGAAUUUGGAAUUUGAAGAAGAUGAAGAAGAAGGUGGUGCUGGAGCAAGGUCUCCUGAUUCUUUUCCUGCUCGAUUUCGCGGUACUUUAUUACCCAGAUUGCCACUAUCAGAAUUGAGAAAAUUGGUCUAAAAGACGCUGGGCAGUGUAUUGAUCCCUAUAUUACAGUUAGUGUAAAAGAUGUGAAUGGCAUAGAUUUAACUCCUGUGCAAGAUACACCCCUGUGGCUUCAAGAAAAGAAGACACAUAUGUCCAUUUUAAUGUGGAUAUUGAGCUCCAGAAGCAUGUUGAAAAAUGAACCAAACGUGCAUCUAUCUUCUUUGAAUUUAAACACUACAAGCCUAAAAAAAGGUAUACCAGCACCAAGUGUUUUGCUUUCAUGGAGAUGGAUGAAAUAAAACCUAGACCAAUUGUAAUAGAACUAAACAACAAUUACUUCUGCUUGUUUUCAAAACCUCAGAACUUUUUCUUAGUCCACCUGAAUCCUUAA